UACGGGGGGGGCAAGCGUUAUUCGGAAUUACUGGGCGUAAAGGGCUCGUAGGCGGCCAACUAAGUCAGACGUGAAAUCCCUCGGCUUAACCGGGGAACUGCGUCUGAUACUGGAUGGCUUGAGUUUGGGAGAGGGAUGCGGAAUUCCAGGUGUAGCGGUGAAAUGCGUAGAUAUCUGGAGGAACACCGGUGGCGAAGGCGGCAUCCUGGACCAACACUGACGCUGAGGAGCGAAAGCCAGGGGAGCAAACGGG
rnacentral:rRNA from 1 species